rnacentral:rRNA from 1 species
GUGGGGAAUCUUGGACAAUGGGCGAAAGCCUGAUCCAGCCAUGCCGCGUGGAUGAUGAAGGCCCUAGGGUUGUAAAAUCCUUUCGUUGGGGACGAUAAUGACGGUACCCAAAGAAGAAGCUCCGGCUAACUUCGUGCCAGCAGCCGCGGUAAUACGAAGGGGGCUAGCGUUGUUCGGAUUUACUGGGCGUAAAGCGCAUGUAGGCGGGUCGUUAAGUUGGGGGUGAAAUCCCGAGGCUCAACCUCGGAACUGCCUUCAAAACUGGCGACCUGGAGCAAGAUAGAGGCAAGUGGAAUUGCGAGUGUAGAGGUGAAAUUCGUAGAUAUUCGCAGGAACACCAGUGGCGAAGGCGACUUGCUGGAUCUUUGCUGACGCUGAGAUGCGAAAGCGUGGGGAGCAAACAGGAUUAGAAACCCCAGUAGUCC